GAGUUAGAUGUAAUAUAUUUGCCUAUACAUAAAAUAAAUUUUAUGAACGACACAUGCUCACAUAUCGAUCACAAUAAUCCUGUGGAUACCAAUAAGAGUCACACAGAUAAUAAACAAACCUCAAAUGGAUACAUUAAUAAGUAUUACAAUAGUAAUAAACAUAAUACGUCUAUACCGUAUACAAGUUGUGAUAGCUUUGAAAUAAAUAGAGGAUUUCUAUAUUGCUCUAAUCAAAAAAAUGUUUAUACUACUAAUUUAAGAUAUUGCGUAUCAUCAAACAUAAGUUACAACAAUUCAUUUAAUAUAUUAUUGAAAAGUAUUUUGUGUGAAAAUGUAUAUAAUAUAAGCAAAUAUUCUUAUAAUUUGAGAGAUAUAAAAAUUAAUAAAAUGGGUAACUUAUUUAAUGAAAAUGAACAACAAUUAAAACAACAAUAUAAACAACUUAAAAAAAAACAGGAAAAAGAACAAGAACAAGAACAAGAACAGGAACAAAAAAUAGAGAAAAGAGCGGCAAUGGUUUUAGAAAAAUCAGAUAUUUUAAAAAAAUUAGAAGAAUUGGGUGCGAACGUUUUAAACGAUGUAAUAAUAAAAGAAGAUUCAGAACUACUAAAAGCAAUAGAAUUUUCAUAUGAUGAUUUGGAGGUAGAAAUGGAUACAUUUAAACUUGCCAUAAGAAACAAUGAAUACACCCUAAGAGGCAUGUUGAGAGUUUUAAAGGAGAUUUCAAGCACAUUUGAAAAAAUGCAAUUUUUAUAUACAAGCUAUGCCCUGAGUUAUUUAGAAAGAAAGAAUAUGGAUAUAAAUAAAAAGAUUAUCGAGAAAAUGAAAUUAAUGGAUGUGACAAAAGAUGAUAUAAAAAAUAUUUUAGAACAUAUAAAGAAAAACAACACAGCGUAUGAACUAAAAAAUCAUAAUUCCUUUACCAAUAUUAUUAAAAAUUACCAAGAAAAGAUUAUAUCAUCAUAUGACAAUAUUCAAAAAAUGAACAAACCUGCAAUACUUAACAUGUGCAAGCUUACAUACAAUUACAUGACAUAUUGUAAUUAUUAUGGUGAUAUGUACCUCGAUAUAUUUAAUCGGUUGCAUAGUGAGAUAAACGGUUUGUUAGAUGGGGCAAACAACUAUUUGGAGCAGCUAAAGGGGGAGGGGGACCCGAUUAUGCAAGAAGACUCGAAAAUGCACUCGGAGGAGAACAAUAAUUUUAAGGACUCACUAAUAAAUUAUUCGCUUAGUAAUAUAAAAACAAUGGAACGAGUACAAUUUACUUUGCAACAAUUAAAAAAUGAUCAUGAGUCUUGUAUGUUGGAAAAUUUACAUAUGGGUGAAGAUUGGAACUUUGGUUCUUAUUUAUUUGACAUUUAUCAAGAUUUUAAUUUAUUGUAUGACUUUUUUGUAUAUUUAAAAGAAAAUAAGAUAGGCUUACACGAAAAAAUAAAAGAAGAUGUAUAUCUUUUUAAAAUUGCUUAUAUUGAUAUAGACGAAGCUGACUUUUUGUAUUACCU
rnacentral:lncRNA from 1 species